UUAGAGUUUGAUCCUGGCUCAGAUUGAACGCUGGCGGCAGGCCUAACACAUGCAAGUCGAGCGGUAGAGAGAAGCUUGCUUCUCUUGAGAGCGGCGGACGGGUGAGUAAUGCCUAGGAAUCUGCCUGGUAGUGGGGGAUAACGUUCGGAAACGGACGCUAAUACCGCAUACGUCCUACGGGAGAAAGCAGGGGACCUUCGGGCCUUGCGCUAUCAGAUGAGCCUAGGUCGGAUUAGCUAGUUGGUGAGGUAAUGGCUCACCAAGGCGACGAUCCGUAACUGGUCUGAGAGGAUGAUCAGUCACACUGGAACUGAGACACGGUCCAGACUCCUACGGGAGGCAGCAGUGGGGAAUAUUGGACAAUGGGCGAAAGCCUGAUCCAGCCAUGCCGCGUGUGUGAAGAAGGUCUUCGGAUUGUAAAGCACUUUAAGUUGGGAGGAAGGGCAGUUACCUAAUACGUGAUUGUUUUGACGUUACCGACAGAAUAAGCACCGGCUAACUCUGUGCCAGCAGCCGCGGUAAUACAGAGGGUGCAAGCGUUAAUCGGAAUUACUGGGCGUAAAGCGCGCGUAGGUGGUUAGUUAAGUUGGAUGUGAAAUCCCCGGGCUCAACCUGGGAACUGCAUUCAAAACUGACUGACUAGAGUAUGGUAGAGGGUGGUGGAAUUUCCUGUGUAGCGGUGAAAUGCGUAGAUAUAGGAAGGAACACCAGUGGCGAAGGCGACCACCCUGGACUGAUACUGACCACUGAGGGUGCGAAAGCCGUGGGAGCAA
rnacentral:rRNA from 1 species